rnacentral:rRNA from 1 species
GGAUUAGAUACCCUGGUAGUCCACGCCGUAAACGAUGAAUGCUAGUUGUCAGCAGGUAUUCCUGUUGGUGACGCAGCUAACGCAUUAAGCAUUCCGCCUGGGGAGUACGGCCGCAAGGUUAAAACUCAAAGAAAUUGACGGGGGCCCGCACAAGCGGUGGAGCAUGUGGUUUAAUUCGAGGCAACGCGAAGAACCUUACCAGCCCUUGACAUCCUGGUCGCGAGGAGUGGAGACACACCUUUUCAGUUCGGCUGGACCAGUGACAGGUGCUGCACGGCUGUCGUCAGCUCGUGCCG